ACGUCGCUUUUCUGUUGCGCUCAUCACUCCGCCCAAGUAGCAGUGCUUCGCCUUCUGAGAAUAGUUCCCAGUUUGUAUGUGGUUAGAAGAUGGCCGUGUCUCAUGUUAUGUUGUUUUCU